rnacentral:rRNA from 1 species
GACUGCGAGUCGAGCGUUUCUAGCUAUGUUGAGACGCGGCAUACGGCUCAGUAACACGUGGCUAACCUACCCUCAGGACGGGGACAAACCCGGGAAACUGGGGCUAAUAUCCGAUAGGCGAGGAAUCCUGGAAUGGUUCUUCACCCAAAGGACAUUGGAAACAUGCUUUCUCUGUCGCCUGGGGAUGGGGCCGCGACCGAUCAGGUUGUUGGUGAGGUAAUGGCUCACCAAGCCUUUAACCGGUACGGGCCAUGAGAGUGGUAGCCCGGAGAUGGGUACUGAGACAAGGACCCAGGCCCUACGGGGCGCAGCAGUCGCGAAAACUCCGCAAUGCACGAAAGUGUGACGGGGCUACCCCGAGUGCCGUCCGCUGAGGAUGGCUUUUCCUUGGUGUAACUAGCCGGGGGAAUAAGGAGAGGGCAAGACUGGUGUCAGCCGCCGCGGUAAUACCAGCUCUCCGAGUGGUAGGGAUGAUUAUUGGGCUUAAAGCGUCCGUAGCCGGCUUAGCAAGUUUCCUGUUAAAUUCAGCGACCUAAUCGUUGAGCCGCGGGAAAUACUACUAGGCUAGGAGGCGGGAGAGGUCGACGGUACUUCUGGGGUAGGGGUGAAAUCCUAUAAUCCCGGGAGGACCACCAGUGGCGAAGGCUGUCGACUAGAACGCGCUCGACGGUGAGGGACGAAAGCUGGGGGAGCGAACCGGAUUAGAUACCCGGGUAGUCCCAGCUGUAAACGAUGCGGGCUAGGUGUUGGGGUGGCUACGUGCCACUUCAGUGCCGCAGGGAAGCCAUUAAGCCCGCCGCCUGGGGAGUACGGGCCGCAAGGCUGAAACUUAA